ensembl:lncRNA
CUUCCUGACACUCCUCUGUCCAGGGCUGCUCCAGAGAACAUGGGAGCAUGGGGCAUCUACAGCUUUUAGCUUCUACCUCACACUCUGAAAUACUGCUUCAACUCUAAUGAAGGCAAGUGCAUUUCUGCCAUCAGAAGGGAAAACAGCAAAGGGUGAGGAGGGAGUGAUGAUGGAAGUGGAGUAUUAACAAGAUUUGAUGAUGCACAGGAAUGAACAACAGGAAGACUGGUGAGGCAGAGCUUUCCAGAGGACUCACAUUCAGAGGCACAGAUUCCAGGCUGCUGCCUAGGAUCCCAUGAUUCCAGGCCCCCUCCAACCUCUGGGGUGCAUGUUUUAUUGCUGCCUGUCCAGGGAUCCUCUUCAUUUUCUCCUCUUCCAAUGACUUCAUUCUCUGUGCCAGUGAAAGCCAAGGAGUUCGGUUUUGUGUGCCAAGGAGCACAGCUGGGGCGACCCUGCAUUGGCUAAGCUUCCUGUGCCUGAAGAGAGAAAGGAACCUACGAAGCUCAGCCGGGGCUCUGGACAAGUUCCUGUGCCUUGAAGUUGCUAUUUAUGAGAUUAUGGUUAUGUGGAGAAAGAAAACAGAGCUGGAGACCUUGAUCUGGAUAGCUGACCUGGAUUUUUCAGAAGCAGAUAAUGAAAUCUAAUAUAUCUUGGUCAGGUCAAUGAUAAGAGAAGUAAGAGCUCUUGUGGUAAAACCCAUUCUGAAGGCUGUGGAACCCUGCCUGCUCAGCAUCUAACCCCUAAGUAUUCUCUCCUCUGACAUCCUUCACCCUCCAAAGAAGUCAAAUAAAU